GCGCACAUAACACGGACAAAUUACAGUAUCUACGAUAUUGAUCUCUGAAAUUAUUCGAAAAUAAAUAAUCGAUUUCAGUAAUGACCAUGACUUUAACAUAAGCAAUUUCACGCUGACAUAAUAAAUUAUAAUUAAUAUAAUAUACAAAUCAGGACUGUAUAUAAGCCAUGAUUCCAUCGGUAAAAUAUUACUUUCCAAUCCAACAAGAUGAAGCUGUUUCUAUUGUGUGCUGUUCUCCUGAUCGUUGGUGAAGUAGCGAGCAGUGCCCUUUAUUGCAUGUGUCCACCAGAACCUGACAUAUGCGCAAGCAACCAUAAAACAUAUUCGGGAGCAUGUAACAUGGAUUGCGACGCGCACAGGUUAGGAGUCAAACUCUAUGUCUUACACGAUGGGCCAUGUGAAGAAAACAGUUCGGAAUAAGUAAUUAAAUACUUAUAUUGAAAAAAAAAUAUUUUAUUAACCAAUAUCCAUCAUAUUUUGUGAAUUUUGUUAAACUGUUUUCGUUUAGUGAAAUAAUAUAUUAUCGCAACAUCGAAAAUAUAAAAACCUCAAGUA